rnacentral:rRNA from 1 species
ACAUCCAGAGAACUUGGCAGAGAUGCCUUGGUGCCUUCGGGACCUCUGAGACAGGUGCUGCAUGGCUGUCGUCAGCUCGUGUUGUGAAAUGUUGGGUUAAGUCCCGCAACGAGCGCAACCCCUAUCCUUUGUUGCCAGCGAUUCGGUCGGGAACUCAAAGGAGACUGCCGGUGAUAAACCGGAGGAAGGUGGGAAUGACGUCAAGUCAUCAUGGCCCUUACGAGUAGGGCUACACACGUGCUACAAUGGCGCAUACAAAGAGAAGCGACCUCGCGAGAGCAAGCGGACCUCAUAAAGUGCGUCGUAGUCCGGAUCGGAGUCUGCAACUCGACUCCGUGAAGUCGGAAUCGCUAGUAAUCGUAGAUCAGAAUGCUACGGUGAAUACGUUCCCGGGCCUUGUACACACCGCCCGUCACACCAUGGGAGUGGGUUGCAAAAGAAGUAGAUAGCUUAACCUUCGGGAGGGCGUUUACCACUUUGUGAUUCAUGACUGGGGUGAAGUCGUAACAAGGUAGGCGUAGCGAG